GUCCCAGCUACUCGGGAGGCUGAGGUGGGAGGAUCACUUGAGCCUGGGAGGUUGAGGUUGCAGUGAGCCAGGACCAUGCCACUGCACUCCAGCCUGGGUGAGAGGGAGACCUUGUUUCAAAAAUAAAAUGAGGCUGGGCAUGGUGGCUCACGAUUGUAAUCCCAGCAGUUUGGGAGGCCGAGGUGGGCGGAUCACCUGAAGUCAGGAGACCAAGACCAGCCUAGACAAGGCGAAACCCCGUCUCCACUAAAAAUACAAAAAUUAGCAGAGUGUGGUGGCAUAUGCCUGUAAUCCCAGCUACCUGAGAGGCUGAGGCAGGAGAAUCACUUGAACCUGGGAGACGGAGGUUGCAGUGAGCUGAGACUGAGCCACUGCACUCCAGCCUGGGCGACAGAGUGAGAAUCUAUCUCAAAAAAAAGAAAAAAAAAAAUAGGCCAGCCGUGGUGGCUCACACCUGUAAUCCCAGCACUUUGGGAGGCCGAGGUGGGUGGAUCACAAGGUCAGAAGAUUGAGACCAUUCUGGCCAACAUGGUGACACCCCGUCUCUACUAAAAAUAUGAAAAUUAGCCAGGCGUGGUGGUGUGCACUUGUAGUCCCAGCUACUCAGGAGGCUGAGGGCAAAAGAAUCGCUUGAACCCGGGAGGCGGAGGUUGCAGUGAGCCGAGCCGAGAUCAUGCCACUGCACUCCAGCCUGGGUGACAGAGUGAGACUCAGUCUCCAAAAAAAAAAAAAAAAAAAGGUGGUUAAAAAUGGCUGCUCUGGGGACUGGAGGGAGUUGGGAGGAUGAGACACCAUCCUGCAAAUCAGGCCUGGAUGAGAUGGGGCUGCAGGGCUUUCUGACAGGCACAUCUGACCUCAUUCUGCCCCUGCUCACACAGCCUCUGUGGCUCCCUAUUGCCAUCAGGGGAGAGUCCCAGCUCCCCUGCUCCACUGGAUUGAGUAGUGUCUGGCAAGAAUUCAUGUCUGAGAAUUCAUAUUCAUAUUCUGAGAAUUCAUAUUCUGAGAAUUCACCUCAGAAUAUGGGCUUAUUUGGAAAUAGGGUCUUUAUAGACAGACAUGAGGUUAUCAUGGAUUAGGGUGGACCCUAAAUCCGAUGACUGGGCCAGGCACGUGGCUCAUGCCUGUAAUCUCAACACUUUGGGAGGCCGAGGUGGGCGGAUCACCUGAGUUCAGGAGUUCAAGACCAGCCUGGCCAACAUGGUGAAACCCCGUCUCUACUAAAAAUGCAAAAAUUAGCUGGGUGUGGUGGCGGGUGCCUGUAAUCCCAGCUACUUAGGAGGCUGAAGUGGGAGGAUCACUUCAGCCCAGGAGUUGGAGGCUGCAGUAAGCUAUGAUUGUGCCACUGCACUCCAGCCUGGGUGACAGAGUGAGACCCUGCCUCAAAAAAAAAAAAAAAAAAAAAGACUAAUGUGUUUUGUGAUGAUCAUUUUCUGACAUUUGUUUUGUGUCUAAUGUCUACCAUUCUAAGUCCUCAAUGCUAAGGACUCCCAUGGGCCUUGGUAGAGACCUCGGUUCAAGUCCUGCACUUACCCUUCCCUGUCUGACCUUGGCAAGCAGCCCUCUCCCUGGGCCUCAGUUUCCCCACUUUGCGUUGCAAUGCCUCUCUAGUUAUCAAGCUCCUGGAAGUGCCGGUGGGUCCAUGGCUGCUGGGGGACAAGCCCACACAGGG
rnacentral:lncRNA from 1 species